rnacentral:rRNA from 1 species
ACACAUGCAAGUCGAGCGAGAAAGUUUCUUCUGAAGCGAGUAAAGCGGCGGACGGCUGAGUAACGCGUAGGAAUCUACCAUUCAGUGGGGGAUAGCUCGGGGAAACCCGAAAUUAAUACCGCAUAUACCCUAAGGGGGAAAGAGGGCCUAUCCUUGGAAGCUCUUGCUGUUUGAUGAGCCUGCGUAGAUUAUGUUUGUUGGUGAGGUAAUGGCUCACCAAGGCUACGAUCUCUAGCUGGACUGAGAGGACGAUCAGCCACACUGGGACUGAGACACGGACCAGACUCCUACGGGAGGCAGCAGUGCGGAAUAUUGGACAAUGGGAGAAACCCUGAUGGUGCAACGCCGCGUGAGGGAUGAAGGCCUGCGGGUCGUAAACCUCUGUCAUCAAGGAGCAACAUGGAGGUUCAUAGCCUCCCCUGAGUUAACUGUAGAGGAAGCA